rnacentral:tRNA from 1 species
GUGGCUGUAGUUCAGAAGUAUGAAGAUCACGUUGUGGCCAUGGAGACCUAGGCUCGAAUCCCGGUAGCCACA